GCUACCAUGCAGUCGAACGGUGAAGCAGAGCUUGCUCUGUGGAUCAGUGGCGAACGGGUGAGUAACACGUGAGCAACCUGCCCCUGACUCUGGGAUAAGCGCUGGAAACGGCGUCUAAUACUGGAUACGAACAAGAAUCGCAUGGUUACUUGUUGGAAAGAUUUUUUGGUUGGGGAUGGGCUCGCGGCCUAUCAGCUUGUUGGUGAGGUAAUGGCUCACCAAGGCGUCGACGGGUAGCCGGCCUGAGAGGGUGACCGGCCACACUGGGACUGAGACACGGCCCAGACUCCUACGGGAGGCAGCAGUGGGGAAUAUUGCACAAUGGGCGGAAGCCUGAUGCAGCAACGCCGCGUGAGGGAUGACGGCCUUCGGGUUGUAAACCUCUUUUAGCAGGGAAGAAGCGAAANGUGACGGUACCUGCAGAAAAAGCGCCGGCUAACUACGUGCCAGCAGCCGCGGUAAUACGUAGGGCGCAAGCGUUAUCCGGAAUUAUUGGGCGUAAAGAGCUCGUAGGCGGUUUGUCGCGUCUGCUGUGAAAUCCCGAGGCUCAACCUCGGGCCUGCAGUGGGUACGGGCAGACUAGAGUGCGGUAGGGGAGAUUGGAAUUCCUGGUGUAGCGGUGGAAUGCGCAGAUAUCAGGAGGAACACCGAUGGCGAAGGCAGAUCUCUGGGCCGUAACUGACGCUGAGGAGCGAAAGGGUGGGGAGCAAACAGGCUUAGAUACCCUGGUAGUCCACCCCGUAAACGUUGGGAACUAGUUGUGGGGUCCAUUCCACGGAUUCCGUGACGCAGCUAACGCAUUAAGUUCCCCGCCUGGGGAGUACGGCCGCAAGGCUAAAACUCAAAGGAAUUGACGGGGACCCGCACAAGCGGCGGAGCAUGCGGAUUAAUUCGAUGCAACGCGAAGAACCUUACCAAGGCUUGACAUAUACGAGAACGGGCCAGAAAUGGUCAACUCUUUGGACACUCGUAAACAGGUGGUGCAUGGUUGUCGUCASCUCGUGUCGUGAGAUGUUGGGUUAAGUCCCGCAACGAGCGCAACCCUCGUUCUAUGUUGCCAGCACGUAAUGGUGGGAACUCAUGGGAUACUGCCGGGGUCAACUCGGAGGAAGGUGGGGAUGACGUCAAAUCAUCAUGCCCCUUAUGUCUUGGGCUUCACGCAUGCUACAAUGGCCGGUACAAAGGGCUGCAAUACCGCGAGGUGGAGCGAAUCCCAAAAAGCCGGUCCCAGUUCGGAUUGAGGUCUGCAACUCGACCUCAUGAAGUCGGAGUCGCUAGUAAUCGCAGAUCAGCAACGCUGCGGUGAAUACGUUCCCGGGUCUUGUACACACCGCCCGUCAAGUCAUGAAAGUCGGUAACACCUGAAGCCGGUGGCCUAACCCUUGUGAGGAGCCUC
rnacentral:rRNA from 1 species